ACAGCGGCUCAACAUUCAAACUUCCAUCACGGCUGCAGCUUCUGAGAGGAGAGCAUCUUCUAGGCCUCAAGGAUGCUGUAGUUACACAAUUCCCAAGACACAGAAUCAUUGGGACAGGAAAGGAAUUCAUUCUACUGUGUCCCCAGAAUAUGAAUCAUGUUGCAAUGUACUGGUAUCGACAGAACCCAGGACUUGGACUGAAGCUAGUCUAUUAUUCACCUGGCACUGGGAGCAUUGAAAAAGGAGAUGUCUCUGAGAGGUAUCAUGUUUCUUGAAAUACUAUAGCAUCUUUUCUCCUGACCCUGAAGUCUGCUAGCACCAACCAGACAUGUGUGUAUCUCUGCGCCAGCAGUUCAUCCACAGCACUGCAUAGCUGCCACAUCCUCUCCACAUAAAAAAAGGUGCAUACCAAAGAGGAAAAGCCUGCCCUCAAAAUUCCUCACCGCAAAUAAGAGAAGUUACCUCACAGGUAUUGACAAAAAGAGCCAAACUCUGUAAAAUAUUUGAAGAGAUUUAUUCUGAGCCAAACAUGAGUGAGCAUGGCCAGAGGCAGAGGCUCAAGGGCCUAAGAACGUGUGUCCAAGGUGGUCAGCCUACAGCUUGGUUUUAUACCUUUUUGGAGACAUCAGACAUCAAUCAAUACAUGUAAGCUGUACAUUGUUUCAAUUUGGAAAGGUGGGACAACUCAAAGAGGGGGCUUCCGGGUCAUAGGUGGAUUCAAAGAUUUUUCAGACUGGCAGUUGGUUGAAAGAGUUAAGUUAUCGUCUAAAGAUUUGAAAUCAAUAUAAAGAAGUAUCUGGGUUGUGGGGACCAAGGUUCUUAUUAUGCAGAUGAAGCCUCCAGGGAGCAGGCUUCAGAGAGAAUAGAUUGUAUUUCUUAAUCAAACUUUUAAAAGGUGCCAGACUCAUAAUUCUCUUCUGGAUCAGGGGAAAAACCUGAAAAGGAAAGAGAAUUAUCUACAGAAUGUAGAUUUCCCUCAUGAUAGACAGCUUUGUAGGGCCGUUUAAAAAUAUGUCGGAAAAUACAUUUUGGGGUAAAAUAUUGAUUUUUUUCAGGGCCUGCUAGGAGUCAUGUUGGUGUCUUAUUGCUACAAAGGGUCUGUUUUGUCACUCAUAAGGUUUCCAUUGUAAUGUUAAUGCUGGUUGGUUGUGCCUGAAUUCUAAAGUGAAGAGGGUAUAAUGAGGCAUGUCUGACCCCACUUCCCACUAAGAACUGAACUGGUUUUUCAUGUUAACUUUGGAAUGCUCUUGGCCAAGAGAAGGGGUCCACACAGUUGGUUGUGGGGCUUAGGAUUUUAUUUUUGGUUCACACAAAAGUAUACCAAUGUCCUCCCCUAGGUUUGAUAUGCCCUGCUUCCCUCUUUCCAUUUUUGUCCUUCUAGGACACCUUUUUGGUUGUUAUUAAACCCUUCAUUUCUUGUCAAUAUCCCACUAGACUAUAGGGCAUCAACACAAUAUGAACACUUGUCUUGGUUUAUUUGUGCUACUAUAGCAAAAUAACUGAGAUUGGAUAAUUUAUAAACAUGAACUUGUCACAGUUCUGUAGGCUCAGAAGCCCAGAACAAAGCACCUCAGGUUCAAUUUCUGGUGAGGGCCUUGGUCUCUGCUUCCAAGAUGGCACCUUGAGUGCUAUGUCAUCACAUGAGAAAAGUGCCUAAGCUGGUUCCCUACCCUUUUAUGAGUCACUAAUCCAUUCAUGAGAGCAGAACCCUCAUGACCUAAUCACUUCCCACCUCUUAAUACUGCCACAAUGGGGAUUACAUUUCAAAAUGAAUUUUAGAAGAAACACAUUCAAACCACAGCACAUUUCUAGACAAACUUUCAGACACAGAUGUAGAGAAAUUUUAAUGAAAUUGAAUUUUAACCAAGUGAAGACAACCCACAGAUUUGCAAAUACCCUUCUAAGAUUCUUCAAAGAUAUCUCAAUGGUUAAUCACGUUGUUUAGGAAAAUGAGAACAGUGACAGCAAGACCUUCUCAGUGGUACAAUGGCCUCAGCAGCAGUAAAAGAGGGUAGUAAACAUUAUGCAGACUUUGUGUGGGCUCUGGAUCACCCACAGAGAAGAAAGUUAUUUUGUAUGUAUGUGUGUAACUGUAUGUUUAAGAGAAAUGAACUGUUUAUUUACAGGGAUUAUUGAGGAGCAGAACCUCACUUGGGUAGAUGCAGGUGUAACUUUUAAGAUCAAUAUCCAUGGCUUUGAAUAGAUAGGCUAGAGAUACAGCAGAUUUACUUAGUUCCCCAAAGAUGCAUGUUGGGUGAUACCCACCUAUAUUAGUUUUCCAAUUACUGCAAAUUCAGUAGGUUAAAGUAACAAUUGUCUUAUCUCACAGUUCUGUAUGUCUGAAGUCCAGGAAAGUAUGGCUGGAUUUUUCUCAGGGUCUUAUAAGGUGGAAAUCAAGGGGUCAGCUGUCUGCAUUUUCAUCAGGAGAUUGGCUACUCCUCCUAGAUUAUUCCUAGUACUGGUAGAAUUUGGUUCCUUGUGACAGCAGGUCUAGGGUCUCCAUUUUUUAUUGGCUGUCAGCUCCUUGCAGUUUCUUUCUGGUCCCCUUGAUCUUCAAAUGCACAUCAAAUCUGUCUCAUGUUUAAAAUCCUGUGAUACCCACUUCUGCUUCAAGACAGAAAACUCUGCAUUUAAAGGGCUCUGGUGAUUAGGUUAGGCCAACCUGAAUAGUAUUUAUUUUGUCAAAUAAUGUAACAUAAUCGCUGGAGUGACAUAUCAUAUUUUUAGGUUCCACUCAUGCUGAAAGUGAAGGACAUUAUACAUGGGCAUGAGUCACUGGAGGUCAUUCUUGGAAUUCUGCCUACCAUACCAAUGGAGAUCAAAUGCCAGGAAAGUCAGGAAUAGAAAUUCAGAGAGCAUACAAUCAAAUAUAUUAAAUUAGAAUUCAAAACUAUUCAAGAGAUGGUUCAGAGUUUUGGCCAAGCAGUGGAUCAAAUUUUCUUACUACUGCUUAAUCAAGGAUACAGUACAGAAGUAAAAUGAAUUGAUCUUUAUUAAAAUGGAGCAAAGACCAGGUCUAGGAAGGAAAGGCAAGAAGGUGGAAUAGAUUUGCUCUUACUGGAAGAACACUGGAGAUUCAAGACAAGAAACAGAAUUGUUUUAGUCCCUGAGUUAACAAAUAAAAGAAAGAUGAGACCAGAACAGUUGUCAAUGAAGGAGCAGUGAAGUAGAAAGGAAGGAUGGAGUGAAUGUGGAGAGCACUUUUCUGAAGAGAAUAAACUUAGUUGUCAGAUGAAAGGAGAUUUAUAAUUAGCUUUGUCCUUACAAAUUUUGAGGUAACUUACCAUGGAAAUACUUUUUCUUAUCAGUUGAUUAAUCUGGGGGGAGGUAGCAUAAUCCUUUGAAAUUCCAGUGCGUAGAAAACUAGGCUCGACCUCAAGAUGAAGCCUCAAAAAAGAAAUGUCUGUUAGAAUCCAGUUAACAGGAGAACACCUACUGCGACUUUAUUAUCAGCAAGUUGGUGAAAACUUCCUGAAGAAGAAAUGUGGGAUGAUACAGAAACUGAUUAAAGUCUCAGAACAGCAAAUAGUUUCUCCUCUUGUGAAUUAAUUCACCUUCCACAAUUAAACAGAGAUAACUCAGGGUACCUCAAAUACUGAUGAGCUUGACAGAAAUGAAUUGCCACCUAAUUCCAUUGAUGGAGAAAGAUAAGACAAUGAGCAAAGAAAAGGGACUUUCAGAGAGAAGAAUUGUUGAGAAGGUAGCAGUCCUUUCUCUUUCCAUGAGGUAGUUGCUAUUCAUUACUCUGUGAUGGGGACUGGGAACACAAGAAUCACCACUUAGGGAUUAAUGAAUUCAAGAUCUGUACCUUCCAUUUUGAUCCAAAUUUGAACUUAAAUUUAUUCAGGACACCAACUGAAUACUUCUACCUAAAGGUAAAACUCAUAUCAUAUUUCCCUCCCAAGCUGCAUUUCCUCUGAGUUCCUGACUUGACGGAGUCAUUUAUUUGUACAAUAUAUGAACGCUGAGAGUUGUGCCACAUUUCUCUCUCUUUUGCCCUGGACAUCCAAUUUUUAUGCAACACUUUCAUUUCUAACUCCUAAAUAUCUUAGUUUACUAUCUCAAUCACUGCAACCACUGACAUGUUUAUGCCCUUUUUACUAGCUUGCCAAAUAAAUAUAAAAGAGCUCAU
rnacentral:lncRNA from 1 species